UCUAGGUGAAAAAGGAUAAAACAAUGACAAAGUGAAGGUUAAGAUUGGACAAUGCCUGGUUUUUAUGCCCCCAGAUCGAAAGAUCGGGGGUAUAUUGUUUUUGGCCUGUCUGUCAUUGUAUGUGUCCGUGUGUGUGUUUCCCAAAACAUUAACCUUCUUCAUAACUUUUGCAAUAUUGAAGAUAGCAACUGGCAUGAUAUUUGGCAUGCAUGUGUAUCUCAUGGAGCUGCACAUUUUGAGUGGUGAAAGGUCAAGGUCAUCCUUCAAGGUCAAAGGUCAAAACAAUAAUUUAAAAGCAGCGCAUUAGGGGGCAUUAUGUUUCUGACAAACACAUCUGUUCAAAAAGUCUUGUCAAACUAGAUUCAAGGUGAACGUUUCACUGGUUGUCUAAACAUAUCUUUGAAUGUUUAGGCUACAAGAAAUCAAUUAUUUGUUUAGAGCUGUAACAAUUCACACAUCAUUUGAUUCGAUUUCGACACCAAAUGUUCCAAUUCGAUUAUUUUCGAUUCGAUUCAAAUUAAACUAUUUGCUGCUUUUUUUGCAAACUAUUUCAUGUUUGGUUUGAAUUCAAUUAAUAUGUUUGGUGUUUGUUAUUAACUUAUUAUGUUGUACAUUUAAAGUAACUAUAGCGCUCAAAAUCACCGAAAAUUUCGUUAAGUAUUUCGUAAAAUAAAGUUAACACCUAAACAAUCACUGUUCCUUAUAGCAAUAGCCAAAAUUUCAACGCUAGAUGCAGAAUAAUUACUUAGAUUUUUGUAGAUACAAAAUGCUCGUUUUUAUUUAUUUAUGGCCACAAUUAAUUCCGGGUGUGUAGAAAUACCGAAAUCCCCGUAAUUACCGAAAUCCCCAAUAAUAUUUAUUAUUUAUCAAAAUACUGCGGAUAUUAAGAUAGAAUAUUGCAAAAUACAAUCUAUUCACUGAUGAAAAAUUGUUUUUAUCCAUGUUUGGUAGUGAAAAACUAAAAUAUAUACAUAAUUAUUGGGAUUCCGAAUAUAUGAAUCCAUAGUGCAUGUUUUCACAAGCACGAUCAGGUACAGAAAUCCCCGCUGUAAAGCUCUUCAAGUGUCAAAAAAUCAUCUGGGUGGCUUUUUGAUAUUAGAAAGAAGAGGUACAGACAAAAACUUAACAACAAUAUUUACAUUAUAUUUGAAUUAGAACCUUCGCGAAACCCGAAAUGUUCCCAUACUCGGGGAUAUAGAUAAUUUUUGACCCAUGGGAGUAAAUACCCCCACUUUUCAAAGCAUGGGGAUAAAUGGUCAAAUUUUGCCUUGCUUGAAGAGUAAUUUGCUAAAAGUAAAACCAUUGCCGACUUCUGAAUGUUGAUUGCUUCAUCAUUGGCCCAAACAUUAUCAGCCUUGUAUUGUUUGCAGAUUUUACAUUUAAGACGAACUUCGUCCUUACUGUCCACCACCGUGAGCCACGGAAAACUGUUUUGCCAACUUUCAACAGUUGUUUUAUUACGUUUGUGUCCUUUUUUAUUUGAAAACAGAAGAAAUUAAAUCAUUCAGUAUUGGCA